rnacentral:rRNA from 1 species
GAUGAACGCUGGCGGCGUGCCUAAUACAUGCAAGUCGAGCGAACGGACGAGAAGCUUGCUUCUCUGAUGUUAGCGGCGGACGGGUGGGUAACACGUGGAUAACCUACCUAUAAGACUGGGAUAACUUCGGGAAACCGGAGCUAAUACCGGAUAAUAUUUUGAACCGCAUGGUUCAAAAGUGAAAGACGGUCUUGCUGUCACUUAUAGAUGGAUCCGCGCUGCAUUAGCUAGUUGGUAAGGUAACGGCUUACCAAGGCAACGAUGCAUAGCCGACCUGAGAGGGUGAUCGGCCACACUGGAACUGAGACACGGUCCAGACUCCUAAGGGAGGCAGCAGUAGGGAAUCUUCCGCAAUGGGCGAAAGCCUGACGGAGCAACGCCGCGUGAGUGAUGAAGGUCUUCGGAUCGUAAAACUCUGUUAUUAGGGAAGAACAUAUGUGUAAGUAACUGUGCACAUCUUGACGGUACCUAAUCAGAAAGCCACGGCUAACUACGUG